rnacentral:rRNA from 1 species
AGGAAUCUUCCACAAUGGACGCAAGUCUGAUGGAGCAACGCCGCGUGAGUGAAGAGGGCUUUCGGGUCGUAAAACUCUGUUAUUGAAGAAGAACGUGUGUGACAGUAACUGGUCAUGCAGUGACGGUAUUCAAUCAGAAAGUCACGGCUAACUACGUGCCAGCAGCCGCGGUAAUACGUAGGUGGCAAGCGUUAUCCGGAUUUAUUGGGCGUAAAGCGAGUGCAGGCGGUCUUUUAAGUCUGAUGUGAAAGCCUUCGGCUUAACCGAAGAAGGGCAUCGGAAACUGGGAGACUUGAGUGCAGAAGAGGAGAGUGGAACUCCAUGUGUAGCGGUGAAAUGCGUAGAUAUAUGGAAGAACACCAGUGGCGAAGGCGGCUCUCUGGUCUGUAACUGACGCUGAGGCUCGAAAGCGUGGGUAGCAAAACAGGAUU